rnacentral:rRNA from 1 species
CAGCAGCCGCGGGAAUACGUAGGGGGCAAGCGUUAUCCGGAAUUACUGGGUGUAAAGGGAGCGUAGACGGUUAAACAAGUCUGAAGUGAAAUGCCGGGGCUCAACCCCGGAGCUGCUUUGGGAACUGUAGAACUGGAGUGUCGGAGGGGUAAGCGGAAUUCCUAGUGUAGCGGUGAAAUGCGUAGAUAUUGGGAGGAACACCGGCGGCGAAGGCGGCUUACUGGACGACAACUGACGUUGAGGCUCGAAGGCGUGGGUAGCAAACAGGAUUAGAUACCCCUGUAGUCCCUGUCUCUUAUAC